rnacentral:rRNA from 1 species
UUAAGUUAUUAAGGGCGCACGGUGGAUGCCUUGGCACUAGAAGCCGAUGAAGGACGUUACUAACGACGAUAUGCUUUGGGGAGCUGUAAGUAAGCUUUGAUCCAGAGAUUUCCGAAUGGGGAAACCCAGCAUGAGUUAUGUCAUGUUAUCGAUAUGUGAAUACAUAGCAUAUCAGAAGGCACACCCGGAGAACUGAAACAUCUUAGUACCCGGAGGAAGAGAAAGAAAAUUCGAUUCCCUUAGUAGCGGCGAGCGAAACGGGAAGAGCCCAAACCAACAAGCUUGCUUGUUGGGGUUGUAGGACACUCUAUACGGAGUUACAAAGGACGACAUUAGACGAAUCAUCUGGAAAGAUGAAUCAAAGAAGGUAAUAAUCCUGUAGUCGAAAAUGUUGUCUCUCUUGAGUGGAUCCUGAGUACGACGGAGCACGUGAAAUUCCGUCGGAAUCUGGGAGGACCAUCUCCUAAGGCUAAAUACUCUCUAGUGACCGAUAGUGAACCAGUACCGUGAGGGAAAGGUGAAAGCACCCCGGAAGGGGAGUGAAAUAGAACCUGAAACCGUGUGCUUACAAGUAGUCAGAGCCCGUUAAUGGGUGAUGGCGUGCCUUUUGUAGAAUGAACCGGCGAGUUACGAUUUGAUGCAAGGUUAAGCAGUAAAUGUGGAGCCGUAGCGAAAGCGAGUCUGAAUAGGGCGUUUAGUAUUUGGUCGUAGACCCGAAACCAGGUGAUCUACCCUUGGUCAGGUUGAAGUUCAGGUAACACUGAAUGGAGGACCGAACCGACUUACGUUGAAAAGUGAGCGGAUGAACUGAGGGUAGCGGAGAAAUUCCAAUCGAACCUGGAGAUAGCUGGUUCUCUCCGAAAUAGCUUUAGGGCUAGCCUCAAGUGAUGAUUAUUGGAGGUAGAGCACUGUUUGGACGAGGGGCCCCUCUCGGGUUACCGAAUUCAGACAAACUCCGAAUGCCAAUUAAUUUAACUUGGGAGUCAGAACAUGGGUGAUAAGGUCCGUGUUCGAAAGGGAAACAGCCCAGACCACCAGCUAAGGUCCCAAAAUAUAUGUUAAGUGGAAAAGGAUGUGGCGUUGCCCAGACAACUAGGAUGUUGGCUUAGAAGCAGCCAUCAUUUAAGAGUGCGUAAUAGCUCACUAGUCGAGUGACACUGCGCCGAAAAUGUACCGGGGCUAAACAUAUUACCGAAGCUGUGGAUUGUCCUUUGGACAAUGGUAGGAGAGCGUUCUAAGGGCGUUGAAGCAUGAUCGUAAGGACAUGUGGAGCGCUUAGAAGUGAGAAUGCCGGUGUGAGUAGCGAAAGACGGGUGAGAAUCCCGUCCACCGAUUGACUAAGGUUUCCAGAGGAAGGCUCGUCCGCUCUGGGUUAGUCGGGUCCUAAGCUGAGGCCGACAGGCGUAGGCGAUGGAUAACAGGUUGAUAUUCCUGUACCACCUAUAAUCGUUUUAAUCGAUGGGGGGACGCAGUAGGAUAGGCGAAGCGUGCGAUUGGAUUGCACGUCUAAGCAGUAAGGCUGAGUAUUAGGCAAAUCCGGUACUCGUUAAGGCUGAGCUGUGAUGGGGAGAAGACAUUGUGUCUUCGAGUCGUUGAUUUCACACUGCCGAGAAAAGCCUCUAGAUAGAAAAUAGGUGCCCGUACCGCAAACCGACACAGGUAGUCAAGAUGAGAAUUCUAAGGUGAGCGAGCGAACUCUCGUUAAGGAACUCGGCAAAAUGACCCCGUAACUUCGGGAGAAGGGGUGCUCUUUAGGGUUAACGCCCAGAAGAGCCGCAGUGAAUAGGCCCAAGCGACUGUUUAUCAAAAACACAGGUCUCUGCUAAACCGUAAGGUGAUGUAUAGGGGCUGACGCCUGCCCGGUGCUGGAAGGUUAAGAGGAGUGGUUAGCUUCUGCGAAGCUACGAAUCGAAGCCCCAGUAAACGGCGGCCGUAACUAUAACGGUCCUAAGGUAGCGAAAUUCCUUGUCGGGUAAGUUCCGACCCGCACGAAAGGCGUAACGAUUUGGGCACUGUCUCAACGAGAGACUCGGUGAAAUCAUAGUACCUGUGAAGAUGCAGGUUACCCGCGACAGGACGGAAAGACCCCGUGGAGCUUUACUGUAGCCUGAUAUUGAAAUUCGGCACAGCUUGUACAGGAUAGGUAGGAGCCUUUGAAACGUGAGCGCUAGCUUACGUGGAGGCGCUGGUGGGAUACUACCCUAGCUGUGUUGGCUUUCUAACCCGCACCACUUAUCGUGGUGGGAGACAGUGUCAGGCGGGCAGUUUGACUGGGGCGGUCGCCUCCUAAAAGGUAACGGAGGCGCUCAAAGGUUCCCUCAGAAUGGUUGGAAAUCAUUCAUAGAGUGUAAAGGCAUAAGGGAGCUUGACUGCGAGACCUACAAGUCGAGCAGGGUCGAAAGACGGACUUAGUGAUCCGGUGGUUCCGCAUGGAAGGGCCAUCGCUCAACGGAUAAAAGCUACCCCGGGAUAACAGGCUUAUCUCCCCCAAGAGUUCACAUCGACGGGGAGGUUUGGCACCUCGAUGUCGGCUCAUCGCAUCCUGGGGCUGUAGUCGGUCCCAAGGGUUGGGCUGUUCGCCCAUUAAAGCGGUACGCGAGCUGGGUUCAGAACGUCGUGAGACAGUUCGGUCCCUAUCCGUCGUGGGCGUAGGAAAUUUGAGAGGAGCUGUCCUUAGUACGAGAGGACCGGGAUGGACAUACCUCUGGUGUACCAGUUGUCGUGCCAGCGGCAUAGCUGGGUAGCUAUGUGUGGACGGGAUAAGUGCUGAAAGCAUCUAAGCAUGAAGCCCCCCUCAAGAUGAGAUUUCCCAACUUCGGUUAUAAGAUCCCUCAAAGAUGAUGAGGUUAAUAGGUUCGAGGUGGAAGCAUGGUGACAUGUGGAGCUGACGAAUACUAAUCGAUCGAAGACUUAAUCAA